CAGAGCCUCGAGCGUUAUCCGAAAUUAUUGGGCGUAAAGGGUGCGUAGGUGGUUCUAUUAGUCUUUUGUUAAAUCUCCGAGCUUAACUUGGAAUCAGCAAAAGAAACGGUAGAACUUGAAAGUGCGAGAGGUAUACGGAACUCAUGGUGUAGGGGUGAAAUCUGUUGAUAUCAUGGGGAACACCAAAUGCGAAGGCAGUAUACUGGCGCAUAUUUGACACUGAGGCACGAAAGCGUGGGUAGCGAAUGGGAUUAGAUACCCCAGUAGUCC
rnacentral:rRNA from 1 species